GAUGAACGCUGGCGGCGUGCCUAAUACAUGCAAGUCGAGCGAACGGACGAGGAGCUUGCUUCUCUGAUGUUAGCGGCGGACGGGUGAGUAACACGUGGAUAACCUACCUAUAAGACUGGGAUAACUUCGGGAAACCGGAGCUAAUACCGGAUAAUAUUUUGAACCGCAUGGUUCAAUAGUGAAAGACGGUCUUGCUGUCACUUAUAGAUGGAUCCGCGCUGCAUUAGCUAGUUGGUAAGGUAACGGCUUACCAAGGCAACGAUGCGUAGCCGACCUGAGAGGGUGAUCGGCCACACUGGAACUGAGACACGGUCCAGACUCCUACGGGAGGCAGCAGUAGGGAAUCUUCCGCAAUGGGCGAAAGCCUGACGGAGCAACGCCGCGUGAGUGAUGAAGGUCUUCGGAUCGUAAAACUCUGUUAUUAGGGAAGAACAUAUGUGUAAGUAACUAUGCACAUCUUGACGGUACCUAAUCAGAAAGCCACGGCUAACUACGUG
rnacentral:rRNA from 1 species